UACGUAGGGGGCAAGCGUUGUCCGGAUUCAUUGGGCGUAAAGAGCGUGUAGGCGGCCAGGUAGGUCGGUUGUGAAAACUGGAGGCUCAACCUUCAGAGGUCGACCGAAACCAUCUGGCUAGAGUCCGGGAGAGGAGAGUGGAAUUCCUGGUGUAGCGGUGAAAUGCGCAGAUAUCAGGAAGAACACGCGUGGCGAAAGCGGCUCUGUGGAACGGUACUGACGCUGAGACGCGAAAGCGUGGGGAGCGAACAGG
rnacentral:rRNA from 1 species